rnacentral:rRNA from 1 species
AUUGAACGCUGGCGGCAGGCCUAACACAUGCAAGUCGAGCGGAGCGGCGGACGGGUGAGUAAUACCUAGGAAUCAACCUGGUUGUGGGGGAGAACGUUCGGCAAGGGACGCUAAUACCUCAUACUAUCAGAUGAGCCUAGGUCGGAUUAGCUAGUUGGUGGGGUAAUGGCUCACCAAGGUUACGAUCCGUAGCUGGUCUGAGAGGAUGAUCAGUCACACUGGAACGGAGACACGGUCCAGACUCCUACGGGAGGCAGCAGUGGGGAAUAUUGGACAAUGGGCGCAAGUCUGAUGCAGCCAUGCCGCGUGUAUGAAGAAGGCCUUCGGGUUGUAAAGUACUUUCAGCGGGGAGGCGUUACCCGCAGAAGAAGCACCGGCUAACUCCGUGCCAGCAGCCGCGGUAAUAC